ensembl:lncRNA
GCAGAGUGACUCCUAAUGUUAGUAAGAUCUAAGUUGCACGCAAAGCAAAUCCAAAUCCAGAACAUUUUUAGAUGGUUUUUGUUAAGGCAUGAAAGAUGAUUUACACAAAUAAAUAGCAUGCAAAAAAAAAAAAAAAGUCCUUACAGAAAAAAGGAAGUUACUUAUGCCACAGUGAAACAUCAGUCUUAAAGUAACAAAUUCAGCUAAUCUGAAGGUGAUUUUAUUUUUACCAAAAAAACAGAACCUUUUUGUUUCUUUCUUUAUUCUUUUGUAUAUAGCAAUUCACUUUUAUUUUUUCUUCCACAGUACAAAAGGCUUAAAAAUGGGUUAGGGGUGCAUUGCUUAUUGCAGUACUUAUGUCAGUUUGUGAGGGUUGUUUGAUGACUUUGACAGAAUAAAUAUCUAACCAGUUAUCCUUGUUACUGCUUUGCCAGUUCAACAUUAUUUAGUUAUUCAGCUUUUGCAAUAAAUGUUCUGAAUUUCUGAUUGUGUUGUGUUAGUUCUUGGGCAGAUUCCUAAGGGAUUUUAUUCCUAUUAAUUUCUCUUUCAUCCUGUUAUUGUUGGUUGAUUUGUUUCUUUGCUUCAUUCUGAAUUUCCAGUUAUUUUUUUAAGCAUACCAUGGUCCAUUAAGUUCAUAUCUAUAUGUGUAAGACUGGAAUAUACAGCAAAUGAUAAAUCUGAAGGUCUAUAUUCUGACAUUCUUAUGUAAGUAGGAACUUAUUCAAAAUUAAUUAUUUGACUUGGGUAAAAUUUUACUUACUCAUUACAAGGAUGACAGAAUCUAGCCAACAUUUGUUAGGCCAACAUAGCCAUAUGGAAUAAGGAUCCUUGCAUGAAUCUCUGUAAAAGUACAGGGGUAGCAUAUAGGAAAUACAGCACUUAUCACACUUUGGUCUUUCUUUUGAGAGUAGAAUUAAGUCAUAUCAAAAUAGAGUAAAUUCUUUCCUACAAGGAAAAUUUGAGUAGCUGCAUAAUAAUUUUUGUUGCAGCACAGGUAAAAAGCAACAAAAUAAAAAAAGAAAAUGCUGAACAACCUUGAAAAAUAUGUGUCAGUAAGAGUACCUAUUUUUGAACAUGCUGAGUUUUAAAGCAGAUAUGUACUGAGUUCUAGAUUAAGACCAGAAAUAUAACAAUUAUUUGAAAACCCAAAUAGCACCAACCAGUUUAAAUUACAAAUAGUUUUUUAAACAGAAUAUAUUUGAAAAUAUUUUGAUCAUGGACAGAAAAUAAAAGAUUUUACUAUUGCUGCAAAAAAAGAACUAUAGUCUGUUCCAACCUUCAAUACUUUGUCCUAUUAUCAACCUGUGCAGGAGAAGCUAAAACAAAUUUGGUUUCAAUUGCUAGCAGGUGAAAAUUUUAUCUAAUUUUCUCAAAUUCUGUGUAAUUUUAGAAUAUUAAGGCCUUACCCAGCUUUGAAAUGGUUAGUAAAUGAAAAAGACAGGAGAAAAAAAAAAGCUGAGAAAGAAAGAAGAAAAAGAGAGCAAGAGAGACAGAGAAGGAAGGAAGGAAGGAAGGAAGGAAGGAAGGAAGGAAGGAAGGAAGGAAGGAAAUAUCUGCAGCACUGAGAACUGCAUCUUAAUUUCAUUUCAGCUAAAUUAAUGUUUCCCAGAUGUUUCCACAGAAUUUGAAUUUGGCCCUAAACAUGUAUUUAGUAAGUGCUCGUUCCUUCACAACCAUUUGGUUGGCUCAAUCAGUAGUAGUACUACUAUUGUCCAAAACUCAGGAAAAAAAGAGGAAAAAAAAAAAAAAGAAAGGAAAAAACCUUCAGGAAUUUUGUGAUAUCUCAGAUGAGGAGCUUUAAAAUUUUCAAAUCCCACUUCACCCAAUGAGAUGACAGAUGAGUAUUGGUGACUAUUCAGUUUUGCUAUCUUUGAGGCUAAAUAUUACUUCAAAUUAUUAAUAACCUGUCAUGAUACAGAUGCCUCUCUGAUAUCAGUUCUGGCUUUUUGCUUUCCUUCAGACUGAGUGUCUUAAUUUAUUUAUUUGUUAAGGCACAUAUUUAAAAGACUGCUAAAAACGUUUGCCAAAUAUUUCUUUCAUAGUCCUCUGUUUUUACUGUCACUGACCAAAUCCCUUAGUCCAAAUAGAAAAUUGAAAGUAUGAAUAGACAUAGUUACUUAGUCCUACUUUAUUCCUAUGCUGUAUUAACUCUUACUAAAGACAGAGCAGCCAGCAACACUUGGGGAAAAAAAACAAACAAACAAACAACAACAAAAAAAAAA